GACCCUGUAGCAGCCUGGAAGUAUGCUUCUUUAAAAGAGUUUGUCAUAUCCACUCUACUUUACUAUCACUGACGCCACAGUUUUGGUACAGAUCAGGACCUUGUUUCCCUAAAACAUUUUGAAGCUAAAAUGCGCUUAGCCCAUAAACUUACAAUGGGACUGAGGUCAUCUUGGCCUUAAGGUGCUUUUUUUGGGGGGAAACGAGACCCUCUGCACAACCAUGGUACGUUCUAGCCAAAGCACUGCCACAGAUAUCUUGUUUAUUAGAGUCUAUUUUUACACCAGACAUCUGGAGUGCUUUAGCUAAGUAAGGUCAGAAAUGUCUUUUUACUUAAUUUUAGUUAUUCUUCUUACAAUUUUGGCAAUAAUUAGUCAUAAAUAAGUAGAUUGGUGGAAACUCUGGUGUGUCACUUGCUGGAUUGUCACCGUUGUGUGUUGGACCCGGGUAUUUGCAUUGAAGUUGUAGCACUGCUUAGGGCACUCUAUGGAAAUGUAGUGAUUUCAUCAUUUGAUCAAUGUAGUGACUGGUCACCUAUUUGCAAGUGCUGUCCCAAGGUAUAAAAUAUGUCACAAAGUCGGUGUGUUUUCAUGUCUCCAUAAAAAGUGCUUUCAUUUUCAGUGAUUAAAAAAAAAUAAUUAUCGAUUAAAGUGUAGUUGCUGUCUUAAUGAGGCGUUUCAGCACUGUUUGGUUUGGAAUCUUGUUCUGAGGGAAGACAAAGCCAAGCAAUAAAUGUUUGUUUUUUUUGUUGAAAAUGUCUGCCAUUUGCCGUGUAUUUUUUUUGUAGUUAAGGCAAAGUUGCACAAAUAAUAUCAGAGACAAAGUAGUUUGGCCAAAGUUUCUUUAUUAAGCACACAAAGGUGACAUCUGGACCACAGUGGAAAUUAGAAUCAUUUUUAAAGUGAUAAUUCAACAACUUGAAAAAUAAUUUAAUGCCCGAAUUGCGUCUCAGGAAA